UACGGGGGGGGCAAGCGUUGUUCGGAAUUACUGGCGUAAAGGGCUCGUAGGUGGCCAACUAAGUCAGACGUGAAAUCCCUCGGCUUAACCGGGGAACUGCGUCUGAUACUGGAUGGCUUGAGUUCGGGAGAGGGAUGCGGAAUUCCAGGUGUAGCGGUGAAAUGCGUAGAUAUCUGGAGGAACACCGGUGGCGAAGGCGGCAUCCUGGACCGACACUGACGCUGAGGAGCGAAAGCCAGGGGAGCAAACGGG
rnacentral:rRNA from 1 species